UACGAAUGGGGCAAGCGUUGUUCGGAAUCACUGGGCUUAAAGCGUGCGCAGGCGGAUAUGAAAGUCAGGAGUGAAAUCCCAGGGCUCAACCUUGGAAUUGCUUUUGAAACUCCAUAUCUAGAAUCCGGUAGAGGUCAGUGGAAUUCCGAGUGUAGAGGUGAAAUUCGCAGAUAUUCGGAGGAACACCAGUGGCGAAGGCGACUGACUGGACCGGUAUUGACGCUCAGGCACGAAAGCGUGGGGAGCAAAC
rnacentral:rRNA from 1 species